rnacentral:rRNA from 1 species
CAAUCGAACCUGGAGAUAGCUGGUUCUCUCCGAAAUAGCUUUAGGGCUAGCCUCAAGUGAUGAUUAUUGGAGGUAGAGCACUGUUUGGACGAGGGGCCCCUCUCGGGUUACCGAAUUCAGACAAACUCCGAAUGCCAAUUAAUUUAACUUGGGAGUCAGAACAUGGGUGAUAAGGUCCGUGUUCGAAAGGGAAACAGCCCAGACCACCAGCUAAGGUCCCAAAAUAUAUGUUAAGUGGAAAAGGAUGUGGCGUUGCCCAGACAACUAGGAUGUUGGCUUAGAAGCAGCCAUCAUUUAAAGAGUGCGUAAUAGCUCACUAGUCGAGUGACACUGCGCCGAAAAUGUACCGGGGCUAAACAUAUUACCGAAGCUGUGGAUUGUCCUUUGGACAAUGGUAGGAGAGCGUUCUAAGGGCGUUGAAGCAUGAUCGUAAGGACAUGUGGAGCGCUUAGAAGUGAGAAUGCCGGUGUGAGUAGCGAAAGACGGGUGAGAAUCCCGUCCACCGAUUGACUAAGGUUUCCAGAGGAAGGCUCGUCCGCUCUGGGUUAGUCGGGUCCUAAGCUGAGGCCGACAGGCGUAGGCGAUGGAUAACAGGUUGAUAUUCCUGUACCACCUAUAAUCGUUUUAAUCGAUGGGGGGACGCAGUAGGAUAGGCGAAGCGUGCGAUUGGAUUGCACGUCUAAGCAGUAAGGCUGAGUAUUAGGCAAAUCCGGUACUCGUUAAGGCUGAGCUGUGAUGGGGAGAAGACAUUGUGUCUUCGAGUCGUUGAUUUCACACUGCCGAGAAAAGCCUCUAGAUAGAAAAUAGGUGCCCGUACCGCAAACCGACACAGGUAGUCAAGAUGAGAAUUCUAAGGUGAGCGAGCGAACUCUCGUUAAGGAACUCGGCAAAAUGACCCCGUAACUUCGGGAGAAGGGGUGCUCUUUAGGGUUAACGCCCAGAAGAGCCGCAGUGAAUAGGCCCAAGCGACUGUUUAUCAAAAACACAGGUCUCUGCUAAACCGUAAGGUGAUGUAUAGGGGCUGACGCCUGCCCGGUGCUGGAAGGUUAAGAGGAGUGGUUAGCUUCUGCGAAGCUACGAAUCGAAGCCCCAGUAAACGGCGGCCGUAACUAUAACGGUCCUAAGGUAGCGAAAUUCCUUGUCGGGUAAGUUCCGACCCGCACGAAAGGCGUAACGAUUUGGGCACUGUCUCAACGAGAGACUCGGUGAAAUCAUAGUACCUGUGAAGAUGCAGGUUACCCGCGACAGGACGGAAAGACCCCGUGGAGCUUUACUGUAGCCUGAUAUUGAAAUUCGGCACAGCUUGUACAGGAUAGGUAGGAGCCUUUGAAACGUGAGCGCUAGCUUACGUGGAGGCGCUGGUGGGAUACUACCCUAGCUGUGUUGGCUUUCUAACCCGCACCACUUAUCGUGGUGGGAGACAGUGUCAGGCGGGCAGUUUGACUGGGGCGGUCGCCUCCUAAAAGGUAACGGAGGCGCUCAAAGGUUCCCUCAGAAUGGUUGGAAAUCAUUCAUAGAGUGUAAAGGCAUAAGGGAGCUUGACUGCGAGACCUACAAGUCGAGCAGGGUCGAAAGACGGACUUAGUGAUCCGGUGGUUCCGCAUGGAAGGGCCAUCGCUCAACGGAUAAAAGCUACCCCGGGGAUAACAGGCUUAUCUCCCCCAAGAGUUCACAUCGACGGGGAGGUUUGGCACCUCGAUGUCGGCUCAUCGCAUCCUGGGGCUGUAGUCGGUCCCAAGGGUUGGGCUGUUCGCCCAUUAAAGCGGUACGCGAGCUGGGUUCAGAACGUCGUGAGACAGUUCGGUCCCUAUCCGUCGUGGGCGUAGGAAAUUUGAGAGGAGCUGUCCUUAGUACGAGAGGACCGGGAUGGACAUACCUCUGGUGUACCAGUUGUCGUGCCAACGGCAUAGCUGGGUAGCUAUGUGUGGACGGGAUAAGUGCUGAAAGCAUCUAAGCAUGAAGCCCCCCUCAAGAUGAGAUUUCCCAACUUCGGUUAUAAGAUCCCUCAAAGAUGAUGAGGUUAAUAGGUUCGAGGUGGAAGCAUGGUGACAUGUGGAGCUGACGAAUACUAAUCGAUCGAAGACUUAAUCAA